rnacentral:rRNA from 1 species
UGGAGGAAAGUAGGGGAUCGUAAGACCUUGCGCUUUUGGAGCGGCCGAUGUCUGAUUAGCUAGUUGGUGGGGUAAUGGCCUACUAAAGCUUCGAUCAGUAGCUGGUCUGAGAGGACGGCCAGCCACACUGGGACUGAGACACGGCCCAGACUCCUACGGGAGGCAGCAGUGGGGAAUUUUGGACAAUGGGCGCAAGCCUGAUCCAGCCAUGCCGCGUGAGUGAAGAAGGCCUUCGGGUUGUAAAGCUCUUUCAGCCGGGAAGAAAAGGCUGCGACUAAUAAUCGCAGUUCAUGACGGUACCGGAAGAAGAAGCACCGGCUAACUACGUGCCAGCAGCCGCGGUAAUACGUAGGGUGCGAGCGUUAAUCGGAAUUACUGGGCGUAAAGGGUGUGCAGGCGGCUUUGUAAGUCAGAUGUGG